UAGGGAAUCUUCCGCAAUGGACGAAAGUCUGACGGAGCAACGCCGCGUGAGUGAAGAAGGAUUUCGGUUCGUAAAACUCUGUUGUUAGGGAAGAAAAAAUGUAUAGUAACUAUAUACAAAAGAGACGGUACCUAACCAGAAAGCCACGGCUAACUACGUGCCAGCAGCCGCGGUAAUACGUAGGUGGCAAGCGUUGUCCGGAAUUAUUGGGCGUAAAGCGCGCGCAGGUGGUUUAGAAAGUCUGAUGUGAAAGCCCACGGCUCAACCGUGGAGGGUCAUUGGAAACUAAUAAACUUGAGUGCAGGAGAGAAAAGUGGAAGUCCUAGUGUAGCGGUGAAAUGCGUAGAGAUUAGGAGGAACACCGGUGGCGAAAGCGGCUUUUUGGCCUGCAACUGACACUGAGGCGGGAAAGCGUGGGGAGCAAACAGG
rnacentral:rRNA from 1 species